rnacentral:ncRNA from 2 species
ACGACCUGCUAGGGGUGCGGCCCGCGUCGAGCGGUGCCGCUGAGAGAGUCCCUUCGAACCUGAUCGAGGUCGUCCUCGCGUAGGGAAGCCAGUUCGUCGUGCU